rnacentral:misc_RNA from 1 species
AAGUCGUAACAAGGUUUCCGUAGGUGAACCUGCGGAAGGAUCAUUAGAAAGUAAUUAUUUGAGUUUUCAACAUUCACCUGCUGAACUCUCAAAAAAUCUCUCUAUAUCUUUCUGUGAACAUGUUUUCAUAUGAGAAUGUUUGGUCAGUCGGUCGAAAGGUUGGUUGGCCAAGCAUUUGAACUAUAAACUUCAUUUUAUAUUUGAUGUCUGAUUUAUAUUUAACUAAAUGUUAAAACUUUCAGCAACGGAUCUCUUGGCUCUC